rnacentral:rRNA from 1 species
GACGAACGCUGGCGGCGUGCUUAACACAUGCAAGUCGAACGGAAAGGCCCUGCUUGUGUGGGGUGCUCGAGUGGCGAACGGGUGAGUAACACGUGAGUAACCUGCCCUUGACUUUGGGAUAACUUCAGGAAACUGGGGCUAAUACCGGAUAGGAGCUCCUGCUGCAUGGGGGGGGUUGGAAAGUUUCGGCGGUGGGGGAUGGACUCGCGGCUUAUCAGCUUGUUGGUGGGGUAGUGGCUUACCAAGGCUUUGACGGGUAGCCGGCCUGAGAGGGUGACCGGCCACAUUGGGACUGAGAUACGGCCCAGACUCCUACGGGAGGCAGCAGUGGGGAAUAUUGCACAAUGGGCGGAAGCCUGAUGCAGCAACGCCGCGUGCGGGAUGACGGCCUUCGGGUUGUAAACCGCUUUCGCCUGUGACGAAGCGUGAGUGACGGUAAUGGGUAAAGAAGCACCGGCUAACUACGUG